GUAUGACAGAUUUCAUGAGGGAAAUACAAAAGAUCCCAAGGACAUAUUACGCAGAAUUCAACUUGUCCCAGAGCUGAAAGGCUGGCUGAACAGUCAAGUUGUUGAACAAUUCUUUGCAAACAUGAGGAAAAGCAAUUACUUUUUAAGUAAUAUGAGUCCAUCCACACGUGUUUUUGAUGAGAAUAUAUUUCUCAUCAUUAUAACACUGUCACCAACAAGAAACUUCUGGAGAGGCAGCUAAGACAUGGUCGACUUGGAAAGAUCAAUAUCUCAUUGUCGGCACUGGGUAAAGCUGUCGUAGCCCCACAGGUGUGCAAUAAACCCAGAGAAACCACAGAAACGGUGUUGAACCCAGCACCUUCAAUGUCUGGUGACACUGAACCUCAGGUAAGAGUUGACAACAAGAAAGCCAAUAGAAGGUCAACAGAUGCAACUUUUCCUGACCUGUGUGGACCACCGUGCGAAGCUCUGACAAAGCCUGAGAACAUUUUGGCCAGCCGUUCAUCAUGGUGUUUUGUACCGCACCCUGGCCAACAACAGCUUCUCAACUAUGUUCUGGACAUCAGCA